rnacentral:rRNA from 1 species
UCAAAGGAAUUGACGGGGACCCGCACAAGCGGUGGAUGAUGUGGAUUAAUUCGAUGCAACGCGAAAANCCUUACCUACCCUUGACAUGUCAGAAAACUUGGCAGAGAUGCCUUGGUGCCCGAAAGGGAAUCUGAACACAGGUGCUGCAUGGCUGUCGUCAGCUCGUGUCGUGAGAUGUUGGGUUAAGUCCCGCAACGAGCGCAACCCUUGUCGUUAAUUGCCAUCAUUUAGUUGGGCACUUUAACGAGACUGCCGGUGACAAACCGGAGGAAGGUGGGGAUGACGUCAAGUCCUCAUGGCCCUUAUGGGUAGGGCUUCACACGUCAUACAAUGGUCGGUACAGAGGGUUGCCAAGCCGCGAGGUGGAGCCAAUCCCAGAAAGCCGAUCGUAGUCCGGAUUGCAGGCUGCAACUCGCCUGCAUGAAGUCGGAAUCGCUAGUAAUCGCGGAUCAGCAUGUCGCGGUGAAUACGUUCCCGGGUCUUGUACACACCGCCCGUCACACCAUGGGAGCGGGUUCCGCCAGAAGUAGGUAGCCUAACCGCAAGGGGGGCGCUUACCACGGCGGGGUUCGUGACUGGGGUGAAGUCGUAACAAGGUAGCCGUAGGGGAACCUGCGGCUGGAU